UACGUAGGGGGCGGGCGUUAUCCGGAAUUACUGGGCGUAAAGCGCACGCAGGCGGUUCGCCAAGUUUGGAGUGACAGUUGUCGGCUCAACCGACAAAGGACUUCAAAAACUGGUGAACUUGAGGACGAGAGAGGAACAUGGAACUCCAGGUGUAGCAGUGAAAUGCGUAGAUAUCAAGUGGAACACCAGUGGCGAAGGCGAGUCUCUGGACAUUUCCUGACGCUGAGGCACGAAAGCCAGGGGAGCAAACGGG
rnacentral:rRNA from 1 species